UGGUGGGGUAAUGGCCUACCAAGGCGACGAUGGUUAGCUGGUCUGAGAGGAUGAUCAGCCACACUGGGACUGAGACACGGCCCAGACUCCUACGGGAGGCAGCAGUGGGGAAUUUUGCGCAAUGGGGGCAACCCUGACGCAGCAACGCCGCGUGAGUGAUGAAGGCUUUCGGGUCGUAAAGCUCUGUCAAUUGGGGCGAAAUGUAUAUUGGUUAAUACCCAUUAUACUUGACGGUACCUUUGAAGGAAGCACCGGCUAACUCCGUGCCAGCAGCCGCGGUAAUACGGAGGGUGCGAGCGUUGUUCGGAAUUAUUGGGCGUAAAGCGCGUGCAGGCGGUUUGGUAAGUCUGAUGUGAAAGCCCCGGGCUCAACCUGGGAAGUGCAUUGGAAACUGCUGGACUUGAAUACGGUAGAGGGUAGUGGAAUUCCUGGUGUAGGAGUGAAAUCCGUAGAUAUCAGGAGGAACACCGGUGGCGAAGGCGGCUGCCUGGACCGAUAUUGACGCUGAGACGCGAAAGCGUGGGUAGCAAACAGGAUUAGAUACCCUGGUAGUCCACGCUGUAAACGAUGAGUACUAGGUGUUGCGGGUAUUGA
rnacentral:rRNA from 1 species